rnacentral:rRNA from 1 species
GACAGAGGCCCCAAGCGUUAGGCGGAAUCACUGGGCUUAAAGCGUGUGUAGGCGGACGCCUAAGUGUCUUGUGAAAUCCCACGGCUCACCCGUGGAACUGCUGGGCAUACUGGCGAUCUUGGGCCAACUAGGGGCAGCCGGAACAAGCGGUGGAGCGGUGAAAUGCGUAGAUAUCGCUUGGAACGCCAAAGGUGAAAACAGGCUGCUGGGGUUGUGCCGACGCUGAGACACGAAAGCCAGGGGAGCAAACGGGG